rnacentral:rRNA from 1 species
GACGAACGCUGGCGGCGCGCCUAACACAUGCAAGUCGAACGGAGCUGAGAGAAGCUUGCUUUUCUUAGCUUAGUGGCGAACGGGUGAGUAACGCGUGAGUAACCUGCCCUGGAGUGGGGGACAACAGUUGGAAACGACUGCUAAUACCGCAUAAGCCCACGAUCCGGCAUCGGAUUGAGGGAAAAGGAUUUAUUCGCUUCAGGAUGGACUCGCGUCCAAUUAGCUAGUUGGUGAGGUAACGGCCCACCAAGGCGACGAUUGGUAGCCGGACUGAGAGGUUGAACGGCCACAGUGGGACUGAGACACGGCCCAGACUCCUACGGGAGGCAGCAGUGGGGGAUAUUGCACAAUGGGGGAAACCCUGAUGCAGCGACGCCGCGUGGAGGAAGAAGGUUUGCGGAUUGUAAACUCCUGUCGUUAGGGACGAUAAUGACGGUACCUAACAAGAAAGCACCGGCUAACUACGUG